rnacentral:miRNA from 1 species
UCCCAGGUCGCUUUGCACAGACCCUGGUGACCUGAGGCUCCCCGGCUGUCCCUCUGUCCCAGCCCUUCCUGGCCUGCGGGGCUCAGGCUGAGUCCCAGUAAGGUCUGUGGGGUCCUGACCCUGGCAUCUGGCUGCCCCAGGAAGGC